rnacentral:rRNA from 1 species
UAGGGAAUAUUGGUAAUCUGGGAAACCGGGAACCAGCAACGCCGCGUGCGCGAUGAAGGCCUUCGGGUCGUAAAGCGCUUUUUGAAGGGAUGAGGAAGGACAGUACCUUCAGAAUAAGCCUCGGCUAACUACGUGCCAGCAGCCGCGGUAAAACGUAGGAGGCGAGCGUUAUCCGGAUUUACUGGGCGUAAAGCGUGUGUAGGCGGUCUGAUAAGUUGGAUGUGAAAGCUCCCGGCUCAACUGGGAGAGGUCGUUCAAAACUAUCAGACUCGAGAGUGGUAGAGGGAGGUGGAAUUCCGCGUGUAGUGGUGAAAUGCGUAGAUAUGCGGAGGAACACCAGUGGCGAAAGCGGCCUCCUGGCCCAUUUCUGACGCUCAGACACGAAAGCUAAGGUAGCAAACGG